rnacentral:rRNA from 1 species
GUGCGUAAUAGCUCACUAGUCGAGUGACACUGCGCCGAAAAUGUACCGGGGCUAAACAUAUUACCGAAGCUGUGGAUUGUCCUUUGGACAAUGGUAGGAGAGCGUUCUAAGGGCGUCGAAGCAUGAUCGCAAGGACAUGUGGAGCGCUUAGAAGUGAGAAUGCCGGUGUGAGUAGCGAAAGACGGGUGAGAAUCCCGUCCACCGAUUGACUAAGGUUUCCAGAGGAAGGCUCGUCCGCUCUGGGUUAGUCGGGUCCUAAGCUGAGGCCGACAGGCGUAGGCGAUGGAUAACAGGUUGAUAUUCCUGUACCACCUAGUAU